rnacentral:lncRNA from 13 species
GCAGUCAGGAUUCUGCUGCAGCAUGGAGCGAAUCCCAAUGAGAGGGAUGGUUCAGGAGAAAGUGCUUUGAAUCAAGCUUGUGAUGAAGAAAUGAAAGAUCUGCUGAAGUCGUAUGGUGCUACGGACUCUGUACUUCCUGUUCAAAAUAUUGAAGUUACUGGUAUGUUAGUUUUAAAAUAUAAAUUGUAGGAUUACCCUGUAGUUGUAAGGAAAAAUCAUACAUUCAAAUAUUAUGGCACUGAUAUUUUUAAUUCUGUUAACUAUUGAAUGAUAUUUACUUGUUUAUUUAUUUACAGAAAAUAGGAUGUGUGAAUGGGUUUUGGUUUUUUCUGAGAGAAUGAGGUAUAAGAACGUAUUUGCAUCUUCAGAUUUUUGUUAUUAUCCAUAUUUCCCUUCACAGGAAGGGAAAUGAGUAGUUUUGAAAGUGGUACCUUUCAUUUCUUUAUGCAACCUAAAUUUGAUCUCACUUGCAUAUACAAGAUACUUUUCAUUAUUUGGUCUGCUGUUGCAUCUUUGUAACCUAUAUUAGUUAAUCCAGCCUAUGAUGCUCCUGCAAAUUAAUUUAAAAUUUUAUUUAUUUUUUCUUAAUUAUGGAGAGGGGAAAUCAAAACAUCAUUGUUACGACUACUAUAAAAAUGAUUAUGCAGCUUUGGAGCCACAACAUGAGAAAUACAGUGUGGAGUCUGUUGCUGCUAUACAAGAUACAGAAAAGAAGCAGGAAGAACUGUUGCUGUUUGAAUUGAGAACUUCCAAAGAUGCAGGCUCUUCUGUCCAGUUCAACUCAGUGGAAAGCCUGACACAUUUUCUUCAAUUCCAUGAGACAGUACUGGUACAUAAAGAGGAAUUUCUACCAUGCUCUGCAAUGGAAAAAUACUGGAGUUUCUACAAAGAAUGCAAAAAUUUUGGAUUCUGAAGACUUCUUGAGUGCUGAAACUUUUUUCUUUGCCAUCACUUAAAAGUAAACAAUUGAGCUUUUAGAACUAAGUACUUUGUUACUGUCAUUUUGAUAAAUCAUUUUUCCAGCACUUGGAAUGAUGGAAAGUUUGUUUGGGUAAGUGAGGAACAGGGAAGUACUGAGUAGCAAGUAAGGAUAACUGUCAAUAUUUAAUUUUGUGCUGCAAGAUUAAGAAAUGGGGAAGUAGAUAAGACUUACACAGUGAUGCUCAUUGUGAAUUAUAUUCCAGGUUGAUAACGUGGUAUGAACUUUUAAGUUUUAAUUUAAGAAUAAAGUAAGUGCCCAUGCUUGAUGGGGCAGCACAGAAACAGACAGGCAUCAACACUGACAGUCAUUUCUUACACUGAAACCUUGAACUGCUCUGGCUGAGCGUGUGCUAUCAGAAAUGGCAGUCCAUAUUUGUGUAAAAACAUAACCUGUUGAUUAGGCAAAAAAUCAAGAUAAGCAGCCUUCAAAAUCAUCAGCAGCUUUGUUUUAUGUGGCAUAUAUAUAUAUAUAAACAUUUGAGAAGGGGGGCAAGUUCUCAGAGAGGUUAAAAGGGGAAUCUUAGCUACUGGAAGUGCUCAGGAAAAUUCCAUUAAUGUUCCAGCCAAAUCUCUCUGAUAGGCGGGAAGUGUGCUGGCAUAGGACAGGAAAUGCUAUUAGCCUGUUUGCUGAACACGAAUUUCGCCAGUUAACAGUAUCUUACAUAUUCAUCCCAAUGUCUGGAGGAUUUCUAUUUGUUUUAAUUUUACAGUGUUUGAAUCUGCUUUAGCAGCAUAUUUGUAACACAUUUGACUGUUAUUUGCAUUCAAGUGGCAUUCUUGCUCAUUCGUUCUUUGGAUUAUAAGAAGAGAUGGAAUAAUAGUAUCUGCUACUCCUAACUCCAGUGAAUAGGAUGGGAAGUAUCUCCUGUUAAUACAUAACGUCAGCAAGCUAUUUGGAGUGUGAAGAGCUCUUCUGCAAAGAUUUUAUUAGUGUCUUAAACAGAAGUUUGUUUGGGGAAGUGAGAGGGGUCUGAUGUGCAGAGAGCUAGAGUACUGUGCCCUAGGAUGCAUGAGCAAUCAUAGCCUCAUGGGCUGUAAUAUUAAAGAAAUGCAAAUGGCCUGGAAGUCAAAAAAGGUAAAAGCUCCCUAGUGACAGGUAUUUUGUAAAGUCAGUUUCACAAAGAAAGAAAAUGGAGUGGUCUCACAACUGCAGCAGCAAAACAAACCUGAAGGCAUAUUGUUUCAAAGGAAGUGCUCAUUCAAAUACUGCACUUUCACUGAAAAGUAAAAGAGAUUUGACUGUUAAAAUGACCUCUGAAUUACCUGUUUGUUUGACAUUUUUUUCUUUGUUGCAAGAUGUCUAAUAAAAUUAAUGUACAAGAGAAUUUGACAGUAAUAUUUUGGUCCAUUAUAUUAAUGUGAUUACAUGACCUAAGGCAAUCCUAAGAUGCAGUGACAGAAAAUUGAAUUGAUUCAAGCUGAGCAAAGAAGUAAAAAUGCAAAGUGCUACAUGAAAACCACUGUCUCGUACAGAUGCUGUAUGUAAAAGUAAUCUACCAGUGAGGCUUUUUUCAGUUUUUAAACUGUAUAUAAGCAUCUUGAGAAAAGCAUUAACUUGACAAUAUAUGGCUUAAUAUGACUAACAAAUGUAUGAUUCUGCUCCCCAAAUCUUAAAACUGUAAAUAUUCUCUAAUCUCCCUGCUGGAAUCCUUUGGUCUUUGUGUAAAGACCUAUUAAGACUUAGAAAAAACUUAAACCAUCAUGUUUUCUCGUUUUAAAUUUAUACUUUUUAAGUGAUUUUUGCAUAAAACUGUAAGUGGUUGUCACUGGUCAAAGAUAGGCAGCUGUUAGUGAUGAUAACUGCAGCAGAGUAAAAAAGCUUCGACUCACAAGUGGCAGUUCAUUCUCCCAGCCCCUCCUGCUGCUUUCAUGAUUCAGUUCUUUUAUUUAGUAGACCUCUUCUCCAUUUCUAGGCUGUGAGUUAGCACUUACUUUAUGUGGUACAGGCUAAAGUAAAAAAGGAUAUAAUGCAAAUAGUAAGACAAAACUCCUGGCAUUCUGACUGCUCUCAAUAUUCACAUGGGAAAUAGAAGGAGAAAAAGAUGAUGCAGUGAACAAAAGCCAAGAAUUCAGAUUCAUAUUUCCACAGAAUUAUCUAUUUAUUUAUUGCUGAGAUGGAAUUGAAAAAAAAUUAAGCGGGGAGAUUAAUAACAGUAAGGAAGAAUGCAAGACUCAAAAGAAUGAGUAAAGAGGAAGAUAAGCAGCUGGGAGGUAGAUGAUACAACACAACAUCCAUAGAUUUUAAGGCCAGCAGGAACCAAUGUGACCUCCUGAGUAACACAGAUCAGACAGAGGUCAUGAAGCUCUGUAAGCAAGAGAAACACAUGGAAAAGAGAAGUAAAGGCAGGUGCCAAGAGAACUAAACUGAUUCUAAGCAGAGGAUCAACACAAAACAUCGCACUUUGUUGCCAGGCAAAGCAGAGCAGGUCAGGGGGGAAUAUAAUAGGAACGAAAACCAGCUUGGAAGAGGUACUUACAGUACUCAAGGCACAAAUACUGCUUGGGUUUUUGAUGGUGGAAAUGCAGCUAGGAGGGAGGGAGAGGGAUGAAUAAUGCUGCCAUAGGAGUUUGUAUAAAUUCUUGAAGCAGCUGCAGUUGGCAAGUGUUUUGUCAUGAUGACACAAAGACUUUUUUCCUGGUCUUCAAACCUUAAUACUAAACUGGAGGAAAAUACACUGUUUAAAUCAAGAGAACGAGCAAUUGCCUACAUAAGACUUGGGCCCUUUUUCUGGUCACCAGUAGUCAGUUGACUAGUUGGUUAGGAAAUUAUCUAGGUGAUCUGAAAUUUGAAUUGCUAAAUUACUGGCUGUAGCAAGAAAAACAUGACACAAGAAGGGAGUAAAACAUUUCUAAGGAAUGGGACUUCAGAACAGGAUUCAAAAAACUUUUAUGUGAUUUUUGUAUCUAUAUGUUUUUCUGGGUUAUGGAUGUGGGGUAUUUUGUUUGUUGGGGUAUUUGUUUUUACUAAGGCUUUGGCUUUCUCUGUGGCAGAAGGUUUUAUCACUUACUCCAAUACUGCUGUAGCAGAGUAAACCACAGGUGAGUUUUCUAUCAUCUGUGGCCUUUUGAUUUCACUUACACUUUUCUGUAGUGAGAGAUCAAACACUCAGUUACAACUUGGUCACGGUGGCUUAUGCAAUUACCAGCCUUAAGAGCUGUCACAGCGAUGCCCAUCUGCAGGGUCAGCGCUACAGCAGCAGACAGAUGCUCUCCGGUGUGGUGGCGUCUUCUACAUUUCCCACCGAGCCAGUGCACCAGGGCCCGAGGCUCUCUGCGAGCAGAGCCAACAGCUCGGCCUGACCUUAAAACACCUUUGCCUGGAAGUCGUUGGGGAGCUGCAGUAUUCCAGUGCAGCGGCAAGUUAUUUCACUGCUAAAUAAAAAAUAAUAAUAAAACCUCCCCAACCAACCUGCUCAAAAGCAGAGGCUUAACGGCGGGCUACAGCUUAUCAGUUCAGAACUGCAGCCAUCGCCGCCCUCGUGCCCACCCGACCGCUGCAGCUCAUCCCUCUUCAGGGCUGUGCGCUCUCGGGGCAGCCGAGCAGAGGACGAGAAGCCCGGGCGGGGGGCUCGUCGCCAGCCCAGCCCACUCGCAGCCCUGUCUUGCCGCCCGGCCGAGGUUGCGGAGCUCCUCGGCUGCUCCGCCUCCGCAGGGCAGCCGUGAGGAAUUCGGCGCCGCGUUUGCCGGAGGGGCGGCGUGGAGGCGGCAGGUUCCUCCCGGUCCCAGGUGCUGGCGGGGACCUCACCGCCACCUCCCGCUCGUCCUCCUCCUCCUGCCCGCCAGGUUUCGGGGCGGGCGGCGGCU